CGGGGCCGAGGCCGCGGGGCGGAGCCAGAGACAGCGCCCACGGUGGCCGCCAUCUUGAAAGAGGGCAAAGACACUCCUGGCGUUCCCCGCCUCUCGGCUUGUUUCAAACGCCAGCGCCAUCUUGGAUCACGGAGUAUAAUCACUUCCUUGAGAGUAGAGGGUGUUUCUGACACAUCUUAGUAUCUUUCAGUGCCAGAAGAAUAGGGGCUUACCGUCAGGAUCAGGAUCACUUUGGGUAGUCUCCAGGUGGUGGCAUGGCAAGAAAGAGAAGGCUGCAGAGAUUGAACAAACAGCAUGCACUGUGGUAUCCUUUAUUUAAAAACUGUGAGCUAACUACAGUCGUAGUGUUCU